UACAGAGGGGGCAAGCGUUGUUCGGAAUUACUGGGCGUAAAGAGCUCGUAGGCGGUCUGUCGCGUCGGCUGUGAAAACCCGGAGCUCAACUCCGGGCCUGCAGUCGAUACGGGCAAACUGGAGUGUUGCAGGGGAGACUGGAAUUCCUGGUGUAGCGGUGAAAUGCGCAGAUAUCAGGAAGAACACCCGUGGCGAAGGCGGCUCUCUGGGACGGUACCGACGCUGAGACGCGAAAGCGUGGGGAGCGAACAGG
rnacentral:rRNA from 1 species